UGUCGCAAAUCCCACACACCUGUGCACCUAUGACUCUGAGUACCGCUUUGCAUGGGCCCCUCAAAGGCCCUGGUACUCGAGUACUUUUACACACUCUGGAUGUAAUGGAAUGUCUAUUGUACAAUGUACAACUAAAACAACUUUCAACAACGGAUCUCUUGGCUCUCGCAUCGAUGAAGAACGCAGCGAAAUGCGAUAAGUAAUGUGAAUUGCAGAAUUCAGUGAAUCAUCGAAUCUUUGAACGCACCUUGCACCCUUUGGUAUUCCGAAGGGUACACCCGUUUGAGUGUCAUUGUAAUCUCACCCCUUUGACUUUUUUGUUGAUCGGUGUGGACUUGGAUGUUGCUGUGUAACAAACGGCUCGUCUGAAAUGCCUGAGUGUACCCUGCUUUGCGGCGUAUUUGGUGUGAUAAAUCUUCACCAGAGUUGACUUUUUCAAGUCGCGCUUGUACCUGUGGGCUCUAUGCUUCCAACCGUCCUGACAAGACAAUCUUUGACAAUUUGACCUCAAAUCGGGUGGGACUACCCGCUGAACUUAAGCAUAUCAAUAAGCGGAGGAAAAGAAACUAACAAGGAUUCCCCUAGUAACGGCGAGUGAAGAGGGAAAAGCUCAAAUUUUGAAUCUGGUGUCUUUGACUCCCGAGUUGUAAUCUAGAGAAGUGUUUUCCGCGUUGGACCAUGUACAAGUCCCCUGGAACGGGGCGUCAUAGAGGGUGAGAAUCCCGUAUAUGGCAUGGACUACCAAUGCUUUGUGAUACACUCUCAACGAGUCGAGUUGUUUGGGAAUGCAGCUCAAAAUGGGUGGUAAAUUCCAUCUAAAGCUAA
rnacentral:rRNA from 1 species